UGGAUUUGUUGCAGCCAGCUGGCAUAAGGUGUUCCUCUUGCUGGCUUGCUACCCAUACCAGCUUUUGCCACUUACAGAAACAUUAAAGAACAAUUUUGAAUACCUAAGCUGAUAAAAUUCUUACGUAAGGAUCUUGAAUUCUUGGCUUAACCUAUUUCUUCACUGCAGUCUAAUGUGGAUUUGUUAAGCCAGCUGGUUAAUUUUACAUCAUACAAUGUUCUUAAUUAAAGGCACCUUUUUAAAAAUGUAACUUCAGCCAUCUAAACCAGUAUUUGUAUCCAAUUGUUUAGGCUGCACGGAAUUCUCAUUUUCCUUUGAUGUGAACUUCUAUAACAUGUACCAAUUGAAGGUUUACGUUCCCAGAGUUGCUGCCUAAUGUGGCGUGUUGUUCCAGCCUAUGCCGAUGAAAGAUAUUUUUUCUUCAAGUUGAAAUGUGGCUGUUCCUUGGUGCUGGCGUCGUGUAGCGGAAGUUGCAUCUUGUAUUUUGUUCAAUUGUACAAGUGUCUUUAUCGUUUAUAUGUUGAGAACUUCUCAACAAUGAGAAGUUACAGAAUAUGAGGAGUUUUUACGUAAAAUAAAUAAUAAAUAUUUUCGGGAUUGGAAAAACACCGAGGAAAAUGGUGGGGGUGGAGUGACCGGUGGGCUGAUUUGACUUAAAUUGAAAUGCUAAUUAAUAGUGAUGUGAAAGUCAGUGUUGAAACUCUUAUUAACCCAUAACCCAACAAAAAUCACAUUCCAUACCCCCUAUUACCCAUCCCUCUAAUAAUCAAUUAUUCACACCCCUAAUACUCUUACCUCCAAACUCCUAAUACCCAUACCUAUAAUAUCCAUACCUAUUAAUCUCAAAUAUAAUUAAUGUAUACAUG